rnacentral:rRNA from 1 species
AACACUUAAUUCACUAAACACUAAAUCAAAAAAAUUACCAUCUACUAUUACGGGAGGGAGGGGGAGUGGCCCUUAAAAAGGGUGUACCAUUCCGGGAACGUAUUCACCGCGCCCCUUAAAAAAGCGAUUACGAGCGAUUCCGGCGGUCAUGCAGUCCCAAUGCCGCCUACAAUCCGAACCCAGAUAAGCUUUAACCAGAUAAGCUUAGCCUCGCGACUUCGCAACUCGUUGUACUUCCCAUUUUACCACUUGUGUCGCCCACGUCAUAAGGGGAAUAAUGAUUUGACGUCAUCUCAAAAUAACCAACAACAAAAUAGCGACUGACAUGCGACACAAACCCCUUCAUUAUGUAGCACUAGCAAAUCGUCUUCCACGCACUACAGUAUUAACCAGCAACGCUCAGUAAGUGAGCUAGCGUUUCGGAUGGUCCAACUGUGUUUUUUCCGAAGAACAAGGAUCCUCAAUCUCUGUACAUCCCUUGACAUUAUCUAACCUGAAAGCCACGGCCGACUACGUUCCAACGCACCACAUACACGUAGGUUUGAAGCGUUGCCCGGAAUUACUGGUCAGAAACAGAGUUCAGGGCGUAUCUUAAGGCUGAGUGAUAGACCCCGUAUCAACCGCGCAGAAGCAUUGGAAACUUCCAGACCUGAGUUCUCAACAGUAUAGUUGAAUACCACGAGUAGCGCUGAACUGCGUAGAUCUCUGGAGUAACACCACUCGCGAAGGGGUAUCUAUGAUCUGUCAGUACGCUAACGUUCGAAACCCCGUAGAUCAAAGCGGAUCAGAUCCCCUGGUGGUAUACGCCUUACACGAUCAGUGCUAAAGGUUUGCAGGGUUCCAGCCCCUCAGCGCUGUUGCUCAGGGAUUUUGCACUUCGGCCUUGAGGAUACCGACCGCCAGUCUGAUAACUCACAGAAAAUUCCGGAGGACCCCUACCAAACGGAGGGAUUAACGUGGCUUAAUUGCAAAGGAAUUUUGAAG